AUUAUUUGGUCAUGUGACCUGUGGGCUUCCCUUUGUCAUCCUAUGCCUGAGAAUAUAUGAAGUGGGCUGGGAAGGUAAAGGGACGUUCAACCGUCAUGACGGAC